rnacentral:miRNA from 1 species
CUGCGUGUCGCUCGGUCAUUUU